GAUGAACGCUAGCGGGAGGCCUAACACAUGCAAGCCGAGCGGUAUUGUUUCUUCGGAAAUGAGAGAGCGGCGUACGGGUGCGGAACACGUGUGCAACCUGCCUUUAUCUGGGGGAUAGCCUUUCGAAAGGAAGAUUAAUACUCCAUAAUAUAUUGAACGGCAUCGUUUAAUAUUGAAAGCUCCGGCGGAUAGAGAUGGGCACGCGCAAGGUUAGCUAGUUGGUGAGGUAACGGCUCACCAAGGCGAUGAUCUUUAGGGGGCCUGAGAGGGUGAUCCCCCACACUGGUACUGGGACACGGACCAGACUCCUACGGGAGGCAGCAGUGAGGAAUAUUGGUCAAUGGGUGCAAGCCUGAACCAGCCAUCCCGCGUGAAGGACGACUGCCCUAUGGGUUGUAAACUUCUUUUGUAUAGGGAUAAACCUACCCUCGUGAGGGUAGCUGAAGGUACUAUACGAAUAAGCACCGGCUAACUCCGUGCCAGCCGCCGCGGUAAGAC
rnacentral:rRNA from 1 species